rnacentral:lncRNA from 1 species
GCGGGUAUGCGUCGAAUACAUGCUGGGAUCUUGGAUGCUAUAAGACUUGCUACGCUAUGUGUUUGGCGAAAUGAAGGGGAGACCUUUUAUGUAUAAAAAAAAUACACACGCGGGCACGCUCAUCGCGCCUACAAACAUCUUUUGAAAAACUUAUAUGCAUGGCAUCGAUAUAGUAUAUACAUUAUAAAACUUUGACAAGGAAUUUCUAUGAAAUAUAAUAUUUAAAACAAAAAAAUUAUUUGGUCACAAGGAUAUUUUUAGACUGAGUCUAUUUUUAUAUACAUCAACGUUACAUUGCAGAUCGGCCUAUUUAUUUCUAUAUUAUUUUACUACCAUAAAUCCUAGAAAAAAAUAUAUUUCUGAUUGGAUGUGUUUUUUUUACAAUUUUGGUCGAACUAUUUUAGGAGGAGUCAGUUUUUUUUUAAAAUAUUGUAUUAACAACACACGUACUCAUCAAUAC